rnacentral:rRNA from 1 species
GACGAACCGAGCGAACGUUAUUCGGAAUCACUGGGCUUAAAGGGCGCGUAGGCGGGCCGCCAAGUCAGGGGUGAAAGCCCCCAGCUCAACUGGGGAAGUGCCUUUGAUACUGGCGGUCUCGAGGGGGAUAGGGGCGUGCGGAACUUCCGGUGGAGCGGUGAAAUGCGUAGAUAUCGAGAGGAACACCUGCGGCGAAGGCGGGUUGCUGGGCUGACACUGACGCUGAUGCGCGAAAGCCAGGGGAGCGAACGGG